rnacentral:rRNA from 1 species
GACGAACGCUGGCGGCGUGCUUAACACAUGCAAGUCGAACGGAAAGGCCCUGCUUUUGUGGGGUGCUCGAGUGGCGAACGGGUGAGUAACACGUGAGUAACCUGCCCUUGACUUUGGGAUAACUUCAGGAAACUGGGGCUAAUACCGGAUAGGAGCUCCUGCUGCAUGGUGGGGGUUGGAAAGUUUCGGCGGUUGGGGAUGGACUCGCGGCUUAUCAGCUUGUUGGUGGGGUAGUGGCUUACCAAGGCUUUGACGGGUAGCCGGCCUGAGAGGGUGACCGGCCACAUUGGGACUGAGAUACGGCCCAGACUCCUACGGGAGGCAGCAGUGGGGAAUAUUGCACAAUGGGCGGAAGCCUGAUGCAGCAACGCCGCGUGCGGGAUGACGGCCUUCGGGUUGUAAACCGCUUUCGCCUGUGACGAAGCGUGAGUGACGGUAAUGGGUAAAGAAGCACCGGCUAACUACGUGCCAGCAGCCGCGGUGAUACGUAGGGUGCGAGCGUUGUCCGGAUUUAUUGGGCGUAAAGGGCUCGUAGGUGGUUGAUCGCGUCGGAAGUGUAAUCUUGGGGCUUAACCCUGAGCGUGCUUUCGAUACGGGUUGACUUGAGGAAGGUAGGGGAGAAUGGAAUUCCUGGUGGAGCGGUGGAAUGCGCAGAUAUCAGGAGGAACACCAGUGGCGAAGGCGGUUCUCUGGGCCUUUCCUGACGCUGAGGAGCGAAAGCGUGGGGAGCGAACAGGCUUAGAUACCCUGGUAGUCACGCUGUAAACGGUGGGUACUAGGUGUGGGGUCCAUUCCACGGGUUCCGCGCCGUAGCUAACGCUUUAAGUACCCCGCCUGGGGAGUACGGCCGCAAGGCUAAAACUCAAAGGAAUUGACGGGGCCCCGCACAAGCGGCGGAGCAUGCGGAUUAAUUCGAUGCAACGCGUAGAACCUUACCUGGGUUUGACAUGGAUCGGGAGUGCUCAGAGAUGGGUGUGCCUCUUUUGGGGUCGGUUCACAGGUGGUGCAUGGCUGUCGUCAGCUCGUGUCGUGAGAUGUUGGGUUAAGUCCCGCAACGAGCGCAACCCUUGUUCACUGUUGCCAGCACGUUAUGGUGGGGACUCAGUGGAGACCGCCGGGGUCAACUCGGAGGAAGGUGGGGAUGACGUCAAGUCAUCAUGCCCCUUAUGUCCAGGGCUUCACGCAUGCUACAAUGGCUGGUACAGAGAGUGGCGAGCCUGUGAGGGUGAGCGAAUCUCGGAAAGCCGGUCUCAGUUCGGAUUGGGGUCUGCAACUCGACCUCAUGAAGUCGGAGUCGCUAGUAAUCGCAGAUCAGCAACGCUGCGGUGAAUACGUUCCCGGG